rnacentral:misc_RNA from 1 species
UCUCCGUUGGUGAACCAGCGGAGGGAUCAUUACAGAGUUAUCUAACUCCCAAACCCAUGUGAACUUACCAUUUGUUGCCUCGGCAGAGCCUACCCGGGAACGGUUCGGAGAAGCUACACUGUAGCUACCCUGGAACGGCCUACCCUGUAACGCACGGCCGGUGGACUUGUCAACUCUUGUUAUUAUAUAGUAAUCUGAGCGUCUUAUUUGAAUAAGUCAAAACUUUCAACAACGGAUCUCUUGGUUCUGGCAUCGAUGAAGAACGCAGC